CUCCGGCUGUCCGCGGAGCUCACAGCGGCUGUUUGCGCUCUUUGAACACCAGCUUCUUCACGGAGCUUCUGUCGGUGUGCGUCCUGGUCUCCUCUGAAGUCUGAAGAUCACUGGGCUCAAAGCCUUUAAAGCUGCCUCCUUGUAGAGAAGCAGCUGAACCUCUCAGACCUGUUACUGUGGAGGAGGGCGAGUCCGAGCUAAAGAUGAUAAGAUAAUCCUUUACGAUCCACAAAGGUCCAACACCACCAGAGGAUCCAGAAAAUAGAUCAUUGUCCCAGCAGAUACGGGUGCUGCCCCCUCCCCAUAGGAAGCCAGUCUAACACCGGGCAGUGAGUUUUGGAAGUGCGGGUGGUCAGAGGUCCUCCACAGGGAGUGUCAGUAAAUGGAGGAACAAAGAGGCAGAGACCGGCGGAGACCUCGGCACUUUGAGGAUGCUGAUGAAGCUCAAACACAACCAAAGCGAGCUGCCACAAUGAAGCCGCUCAGGAGCCGCCAACGCUGCCACAAAAAGGAGUCCUUCACCUGUGAUCAGUGUGGAAAGGCUUUUACUCAGAGUGCUAACUUAAAGUCCCAUAAGCUCACCCACCCUGGAGUCAAACCCUUCACCUGUGACCAGUGUGGAAAGGGUUUUGUUCGCAGUUGCUGGCUGAAAUCACAUGAGGUUGUCCACACUAGAGUGAAACCAUUCGUCUGUGGUCACUGUGGGAAGGCCUUUACUCAAAUGGGUAACUUAAAAUUACAUCAGUACACCCACUAUGGACCUAAGGCGCUCAGUGUGGAACGCCUUUUGUUCGGGGUGAAAUGUUAAAACACCGUCAGCUCAUCCACAUUAACGUGAAACCUGAAAGUUUGGGCUGGUUCGGCCUGCCGCUCUGUUCCUGACUCAAAGCUGGCUCCGUCAUGUUUGGUGUAAUGCUCCUUUACUCUGCUUAAAGGCCCGUGCUGUGCUCAGCUGUCAGCGUCACGUCAGAGCCGCAUCUGAUCCCAGACCUGCAAAAACAGUUUAAACAAAGAACAACAAAGCAGCUGUUAUAAAACGAUUUAAUAACUCAUCAACAGAUUGAUCUAUUCUGCCUUUGCAGAGACCUGGUUAUGUGCAGUAUAUUUUUAUAGUCGUUUUUUUCUGUUUUCUAUUUUUGAUGGUUUUAUACUAUGCGACUCUCAAGAUGGUUUUUCACUAAUAAUCAUAUGCAUACACUGUAUUUUCAUGAAAUAUACUACUGACUACUAACAUGAUUAUUGAUUUACUCUUUUUAUUAUAUUGUUUGACUUGUUUUUAUUAUACUGACUAAAAAGUGUUGAUUUAUGAUGGUGCUAAUUCAUUUAUAGUGUUUUUUGCUUUUAAAGGUAUUGUUUGAUUGAUGUAUACUUCAUUUUUACAUUGUCAUUUCAGUGCAUG